AGAGUUUGAUCAUGGCUCAGGAUGAACGCUAGCGGCAGGCUUAAUACAUGCAAGUCGUGGGGCAGCACAGGUAGCAAUACUGGGUGGCGACCGGCAAACGGGUGCGGAACACGUACGCAACCUUCCUUCAAGUGGGGGAUAGCCCAGGGAAACUUGGAUUAAUACCCCGUAACAUUAUGAGAUGGCAUCAUCUUAUAAUUAAAGCUACGGCGCUUGGAGAUGGGCGUGCGGCUGAUUAGGUAGUUGGCGGAGUAAUAGCCCACCAAGCCUGCGAUCAGUAACUGGUGUGAGAGCACGACCAGUCACACGGGCACUGAGACACGGGCCCGACUCCUACGGGAGGCAGCAGUAAGGAAUAUUGGUCAAUGGACGCAAGUCUGAACCAGCCAUGCCGCGUGGAGGAUGAAGGCCCUCUGGGUUGUAAACUUCUUUUAUCUGGGAAGAAACCCAUCUUUUCUAAGGUGGUUGACGGUACCAGUUGAAUAAGCACCGGCUAACUCCGUGCCAGCAGCCGCGGUAAUACGGAGGGUGCAAGCGUUAUCCGGAUUCACUGGGUUUAAAGGGUGCGUAGGUGGGCAGGUAAGUCAGUGGUGAAAUCUCCGGGCUUAACCCGGAAACUGCCGUUGAUACUAUCUGUCUUGAAUAUCGUGGAGGUGAGCGGAAUAUGUCAUGUAGCGGUGAAAUGCUUAGAUAUGACAUAGAACAUCAAUUGCGAAGGCAGCUCGCUACACGGUUAUUGACACUGAGGCACGAAAGCGUGGGGAUCAAACAGGANNAGAUACCCUGGUAGUCCACGCC
rnacentral:rRNA from 1 species